rnacentral:rRNA from 1 species
GAGUUUGAUCGUGGCUCAGAUUGAACGCUGGCGGCAUGCCUUACACAUGCAAGUCGAACGGCAGCACGGGAGCUUGCUCCUGGUGGCGAGUGGCGAACGGGUGAGUAAUGCAUCGGAACGUAUCCUGGAGUGGGGGGAUAACGUAGCGAAAGUUACGCUAAUACCGCAUAUUCUGUGAGCAGGAAAGCGGGGGACCUUCGGGCCUCGCGCUCUUGGAGCGGCCGAUGUCGGAUUAGCUAGUUGGUGAGGUAAAGGCUCACCAAGGCGACGAUCCGUAGCAGGUCUGAGAGGAUGAUCUGCCACACUGGAACUGAGACACGGUCCAGACUCCUACGGGAGGCAGCAGUGGGGAAUUUUGGACAAUGGGGGCGAACCCUGAUCCAGCCAUGCCGCGUGAGUGAAGAAGGCCUCGGUUG